rnacentral:rRNA from 1 species
UACGUAGGUGGCAAGCGUUGUCCGGAUUUAUUGGGUUUAAAGGGUGCGUAGGCGGCCCUGUAAGUCAGUGCUGAAAUAUCCCGGCUUAACCGGGAGGGUGGCAUUGAUACUGCAGGGCUUGAGUACAGAUGAGGUAGGCGGAAUUGACGGUGUAGCGGUGAAAUGCAUAGAUAUCGUCAAGAACUCCGAUAGCGAAGGCAGCUUACUAAGCUGUAACUGACGCUGAGGCACGAAAGUGUGGGGAUCAAACAGG